CUCAAUUAAUUAAUUGAGAGAUACUUGUUCAAUACACUUACCCUUAACUUGUUAUCCUCUCAAUUUCAACAAAAUCCAAUAACUAUGGCCCAUGACCAGGUCCUCCAACAUGUGACACUGGUGCUGGAUCUCGUGGAAGGGCCUGAAGAUGAAGCUCAUGUGCCCUUGACUGGUCAUGGUUUAAUAAUAAUGGCCUGCAAUCUACUCCAUAUUGAGGAGAAGAGGCAAAGAUGAUGAGGAAGAUUAGCAAAAGCUGUGGAACUAUGAAGAGGACCUUACUGUAAGAGAAAGCCAUUUAUGUAGUUUUUUUGGGUGAAACUAACACAGUUGUUCUAAUUCUAGUAUAAUGAAUAUCUAAUUAUUUUGCUUUUAGAUAUUCUUUGGGAAGAGAUAAAAGUAGAAUAUAAUGAGCUUG
rnacentral:lncRNA from 1 species